AUUGAACGCUGGCGGCAGGCCUAACACAUGCAAGUCGAGCGAGCGGCGGACGGGUGAGUAAUGUAUGGGGACUGCCCGAUAGAGGGGGAUAACUACUGGAAACGGUGGCUAAUACAGCAUACUGUCGGAUAACCCAUAUGGGAUUAGCUAGUAGGUAAGGUAAUGGCUUACCUAGGCGACGAUACCUAGCUGGUCUGAGAGGAUGAUCAGACACACGGGGACUGGGCCACGGCCCAGCUUCCUACGGAGGCAGCAGUGGGGAAUAUUGAACAAUGGGCGCAAGCCUGAUGCAGCCAUGCCGCGUGUAUGAAGAAGGCCCUAGGGUUGAAAAGUACUUUCAGUCGGGAGGCGUUACCGACAGAAGAAGCACCGGCUAACUCCGUGCCAGCAGCCGCGGUAAUA
rnacentral:rRNA from 1 species